CCGUAAGUUUGUGAACUCUUGCCUACUCAUCCUCAAAUGCUAAUCUGCUUAAUACUCCUCACAGCCAGGUGAGUCUUAUUUUCUGACUGCUACAGAAGAAAACAUGAUUAAAAAUAAGAAGCUUGUCAAUGCAGCAAUAAGAAGACGGGACCUGUCAAAGAUGCUUAUUUGGGUUUCACUGGCUUCCUGCCUCCUAUCACAUCAUGAUGGUUUCAGUAUGGGGGUACUCUUCUCUUCGUCUAUGGU